GACGAACGCUGGCGGCGUGCUUAACACAUGCAAGUCGAACGGAAAGGCCCUGCUUUUGUGGGGUGCUCGAGUGGCGAACGGGUGAGUAACACGUGAGUAACCUGCCCUUGACUUUGGGAUAACUUCAGGAAACUGGGGCUAAUACCGGAUAGGAGCUCCUGCUGCAUGGUGGGGGUUGGAAAGUUUCGGCGGUUGGGGAUGGACUCGCGGCUUAUCAGCUUGUUGGUGGGGUAGUGGCCUACCAAGGCUUUGACGGAUAGCCGGCCUGAGAGGGUGACCGGCCACAUUGGGACUGAGAUACGGCCCAGACUCCUACGGGAGGCAGCAGUGGGGAAUAUUGCACAAUGGGCGGAAGCCUGAUGCAGCAACGCCGCGUGCGGGAUGACGGCCUUCGGGUUGUAAACCGCUUUCGCCUGUGACGAAGCGUGAGUGACGGUAAUGGGUAAAGAAGCACCGGCUAACUACGUG
rnacentral:rRNA from 1 species